ACCGAUGAAGGUGAUUAUCAGACUAAGCUGCGUAAUCUGAAGCGGUUCCUGGAGCAAGGCAACAAGGCAAAGGUAACGCUGUGGUUUCGAGGUCGUGAGAUGGCGCACCAGAAUCUGGGUAUGCGCCUUCUUAACCGGGUAGAGGCGGAUCUGGAAGAGAUUGCCAAGGUCGAGCAAUAUCCUAAGCUGGAAGGGCGGCGUCUAUCCAUGGUUCUGUCACCGAGAAAAUAAAUCCGCUGGAAUUGCUCUAAAAUACACCUAUGUUUUGAUGUAUCGGAAAAACAAAAAUCCUAACAGAACUCAUGCGUGGGGUAAGGUCAA
rnacentral:misc_RNA from 1 species